rnacentral:rRNA from 1 species
UACGAGGGGGGCAAGCGUUGUUCGGAAUUAUUGGGCGUAAAGGGCGCGUAGGCGGUCUGAUAAGUCUUGUGUGAAAUCUCUGGGCUCAACCCAGAGUCUGCAUAGGAAACUGUCGGGCUUGAGUAUGGGAGAGGUGCGUGGAAUUUCCGGUGUAGCGGUGAAAUGCGUAGAUAUCGGAAGGAACACCUGUGGCGAAAGCGGCGCACUGGACCAAAACUGACG